rnacentral:rRNA from 1 species
AUUGAACGCUGGCGGCAUGCCUUACACAUGCAAGUCGAACGGCAGCACGGGGCAACCUGGUGGCGAGUGGCGAACGGGUGAGUAAUGCAUCGGAACGUGCCAUUGAGUGGGGGAGUAACGUAGCGAAAGUUGCGCUAAUACCGCAUAUUCUGUGAGCAGGAAAGCAGGGGACCGGCAAGGCCUUUGCGCUCUUUGAGCGGCCGAUGUCAGAUUAGCUAGUUGGUGAGGUAACGGCUUACCAAGGCGACGAUCUGUAGCGGGUCUGAGAGGAUGAUCCGCCACACUGGAACUGAGACACGGUCCAGACUCCUACGGGAGGCAGCAGUGGGGGAAUUUUGGACAAUGGGCGCAAGCCUGAUCCAGCCAUGCCGCGUGAGUGAAGAAGGCC